UAAUCACAGUAUCCCUCCAAAUUUUCUCUCACCCUAAAAUCUCUCAGAUACACGUACUUUCAGCUUAAAACCCCUAGAGACGUGGCCGCUAACUAAUAGAUCCUUCAAAAUUCAGAAGGUAAAAUUCGAUCGUACCUAAAAUCCCUAGAGAUGGCGAAGCUAAAAUUCAGAAGGUAAAAAAUUAAACUCAGAAAGGUUGCAAAGAGCGAGACGACGAAGCUAAAAUCCCUAGAGACGGCCGCUAACUCCUUCAAAAUUCUGAAGGUAAAAAACUCAGAAAGGUUGCAAAGAGUGAGGCGCCACUUUGUCGUCAUCGUUGAGAGCUCUAUUCAGAACAUACUCUGUUUAAUUUCUUCUUUGGAGGCCUUAAUCUAAAGUACUUUACACAAAUUAUACUAUUGGAUUAUCCGCCUAAACAAGAUUGCAUUCCGGUCAAAGGGUUUCCUUGGAAACAAGCCUGCUGAACUUUGGUAGGAUCUCAAGCUCCUUACGGUAGUGCACCACCUGUGACUUUUACUGAGAAAUGUUCAGAUGCUUUAGAUCUUCAUAACUCAAAUGAAGAUUCACCCUGCUGGAAAGGUGCUCCUACUUUUCGUAUUUCUCUUUGGGACUCUGAGUAUGAUCCCUGUUCCUGCAAAAAGAAAAAAACCAGGAUCAAUUUGAGAGUGUUGACAUGGAUAUCCAUCGCGAUCAUAUUUUGGGAUGGAUGAAAGAGUUAUGGAACAAAUGGAGAGGACAAUUGCAUGCAAAAUAUGUGAAGGGUAAGCCAAUCCAAGAGGCUCUUAAGAAUGUGCCCAAGGGGGUAGACAAGAAACAAUGUGAGUGAUUGGUAAAGGAACAUUUUUCUACAGAAAGUUUUCAGGUUUGACAUAAUAACUAAUUAUGUAAUUUUAUUUUAUACCGUGAUCUUUUAAUUGAUAAUUUAUUUGUAGCAUUUGAAUUUAAUGUUGUCACUCAAAUAUAGGCGAGAAGUAACAGGAAUGCAGCAAAUAGAACUAAGUUGAAGAUGCUUCAUCAUAUUGGUAGCAAGCCAAUUAGAGAGAUUAUUUAUCAAAAGGUGUUUUCAUCAAAUCUAUUUUUGCUUAAUAUUGACGAGACGUUAUUUGACAUAUUUACUUUUAUGUAAAGGGCGGAAAAGAUGGCAAACCACCAGAUUUGGCAGCUAUUUUUUUCAAGACUCGCAAGAAGAAUAACACGCUUGUUGAUCCUGAAACAAUCGAGAAACAUGCUCAAAUCCAGGAAUUGGUGCAGUCUGAACCGUUACUUCCUAACAUAGAGAUUGUAGAGAAAUGCUUUGGACCUCAAAGUCGUAGUCAUGUAUUUGGCUUUGGGGGUGGAUUAAAGGCAAAAGAUUUGAAAGGUGGAACUGCCUCAAAAACUGAAUUAUUGGCUAAGAUACGUUCAACUGAAGAUGAAAACCAGUCUUUGAAGGAUCGUUUGUCUAACUUGGAAAUUGAGAUGAGAGAACUGAGGCAAGUAAAAGAAUUAGUAUUAGCGCAACAAACUAAUUUCCAGCCUCCACUUCAAGAGAAUGACUAUUUGGAUCCUUAAUGAUACCAAGUUUUGGAUAUUGAAGUUUACUAGAAGUAGAUUUUUGACGACAUACAGAUUAGCCAUCAUUUUGCUGGGAAUUUCAAGAAAAUUUUACAUUACAAUCGAGGGAUAUUAGUGAUAUGUAAUUUUUUGCUAAAUGUUUAUGAACACUAUUGUGACUAGCUUACAUCAUUGAUGUACGGUGCAACUAACUGAUGUUGAUUAUUUUUGGUAUUAUUUUAUGAAAGCAACAUCAUCUAUAUAUUAAUAUUCCCGA